UGGCUGUGUUUGUUUCUCUUUUAUUUGAUGGGUAAUAUGUAAACCAAAAUCAUUGUUAGUUGUAUUUAUUAAAGUUUAUAACUUACUCUGCUUUUUUAUUUAGGUAAUUUCACUGAUCUUGGUUGUAGUCUUCGUCUUCUUCGUAAGCAUAAGUUUGUAAAUUGUUAAAUAUUUGGCCGUGUAGUUUAUAUUUGUUUAGCUGGCUCAAUGUAUGUGUUGUUGAGUUUUAGUUGAGUUGAUUGGUUUGGUAUAUUUGUUUUGAAGUUUAUUUGUAAGAUUAGACAAAAAGAGAGGUGAUCAUUAAUGAUUCGUCUUUUUUGGGAUUCUAGUUUUUUGGUGUUUUGAUUGUUUAAGUUAUUGUGGUUUCUUUUAAACAGUAAAAUAAAGAUUUGUGUAAAAUUAAAUUGAUAAGUAAGAGAGAUAAAUAGACGACCACAAAUCUUGGGUAUGAAAUAUUUUUGAUUAUUGAUGUUAGCAAAUUAUAGAUAGUAAUAUAAAGGAAAUUAUGUGUUGAUUGUUUCUUACGGAUCAAUGAGGAGACGGAUAACGACUCGAGUUGUUUCUUUGGUGAGGCCAUAGCCCUGGACA
rnacentral:lncRNA from 1 species